AUACGUAGGUGACAAGCGUUAUCCGGAUUUACUGGGCGUAAAGGGCGUGUAGGCGGUCUUGCAAGUCAGAAGUGAAAUUCCUGAGCUCAACUCGGGCGCUGCUUCUGAAACUGCAGGACUUGAGUGCUGGAGGGGAUAGCGGAAUUCCUAGUGGAGCGGUAAAAUGCGCAGAUAUUAGGAAGAACACCGGUGGCGAAGGCGGGUUUCGGGCCAGUAACUGACGCUGGGGCGCGAAAGCGUGGGGAGCAAAAAGGAUUAGAUACCCUGGUUGUCCACGCCGUAAACGAUGAAUACUAGGUGUAGGGGGUAUCGACUCCCUCUGUGCCGCAGUUAACACAAUAAGUAUUCCGCCUGGGGAGUACGGCCGCAAGGUUGAAACUCAAAGGAAUUGGCGGGG
rnacentral:rRNA from 1 species